rnacentral:rRNA from 1 species
GACGAACGCUGGCGGCGUGCUUAACACAUGCAAGUCGAACGGUGAAGCGAGUGCUUGCACUCGUGGAUCAGUGGCGAACGGGUGAGUAACACGUGAGUAACCUGCCCAUCACUCUGGGAUAAGCACUGGAAACGGUGUCUAAUACUGGAUACGACCAACCCUUGCAUGGGGUGUUGGUGGAAAGAUUUAUCGGUGAUGGAUGGACUCGCGGCCUAUCAGCUUGUUGGCGGGGUAAUGGCCCACCAAGGCGACGACGGGUAGCCGGCCUGAGAGGGUGACCGGCCACCCUGGGACUGAGGCACGGCCCAGACUGCUACGGGAGGCAGCAGUGGGGAAUAUUGCACAAUGGGCGAAAGCCUGAUGCAGCGACGCCGCGUGAGGAAUGACGGCCUUCGGGGUGUAAACCUCUUUCAGCAGGGAAGAAGCGAAAGUGACGGUACCUGCAGAAGAAGCACCGGCUAACUACGUG